UUCUUUUCUUUCUCUUUCUUUCCGUGCAACUCUCCUACUCGAAUUGCAAGCCUGGAGGCUUCUCUCUCUCUCUCUUUUUUUUUUCUUCCCCUUUCCUCUUUUCUUCCUCCUUCCUCCUUUCUUAUUUCUCUAAAAGGGUUUUGUUUGCUGUGGGAGUUUCGUUUGAAAAUCGAGUCACGCCUUUUUCCUUCUUUUCUUUCUCCCUCUCCUUUUGCCCCCCCCCUCCUCUCAGCAGAAAAGGGGAACAAAGAUUAACAAGCGGGGGAGAAGGGAGCCUCAGAACCUCGAAUGGAAAUGGGGGGCUGUCCCUGCCGGGCACAAAGGGGGCCCGAGAGAACAGCCCCCCCGGAAGCCUGGGGUGUCCUAUCCCAAAGAAGAGCCACUGGGAUGGGGGUCCGGGGGAGCCCCUGGGUGCCCAGUCCUUCCGAAAUACUGGUAGGGGCUCUGAGUCCGCCCCCUCCCAGCCAGGGGUGGAAGCUGGUGUGUGUGUGUGUGGGGGGGGGUGCUCUUCACUUAAUAUAUUUUUUAAGUGGGCAGAUGGGCUUGGAGCAAACGCAGCCGCAGAGCCCUGAACACUAAAGCGCCUUUAAACAGCUGUUCCGAGCCCUGGACGGUCAGCCUCGAGGGAACGGCUCCGGCUGUGAUCGCCGGGACCCGUGUGCGAAGGGGUUCAGGGGAGUUCAGCUCCUCGCGGCCUCCCCAAGCCUAGGGCCUAGGUUCGGCCCCCGGGGUGCACGGCUGGGGGGCGCCGAGGCGUGGUCGUUAGCUGAGGUCUGGGCCCUUGUGGCUCCCUGCGGGGCCCGGGGUUCAGCCUAGCCUGGCCUCCUCCCAGCGCUGGGACAGGCCGGACACCCCGCCUCCAACCUCCCGGACACCCGCCACUCAGCUGCGCCGCUCGACUCGGACGCAGGGCGGGUGCCGAGCCCGCGGACAGAGCCGGGCAGUGUCGCCACCAAGGGUCAAUUAUUCAUGGGGCGCCUGGGCGUGCUCCCAAGACCAGCUCUGUCCUCGACUUCUCCGGAGGAGUGGAGACAACACGGGGGAAAAGUUCCCAGAGCAAAGUUGGCCACAUUUCUUAUUUUCCCAAGGGAGACACAUGUGCCCAAGUCUGCAUGUGGAGGUCAGAGGACAACUUUCAGGAGGCCCUUCUUUCCUUCCAACGAAUGGAUCUCAGAAAUGGAACUUUGGUUAAAUCUGGGCAUGGCAGCAAAUGCCUUCAGAAAUGUCUCCUGCAGACUCACGUGUCAGAACCCUCGAUCGCCAGCUAGCAGCGCGGUUCCGGGACUGAGCCUGGCUGGCGGAAGUGGGUCACCGGGAGUGGUUCUCGGAGUUGCAGCCAGGCCCUGCUUCAGCUUCCAUUCUCUCUGCUUCCUGAGCUGUCAAGAUGUGUGACAUGCUUCGACUGUCCCCACACACUGCCACCUCCACAGAGCUGUCUCCCCUGCCUUCCCGGACUCGGUGGACUAAACAUCCGGGAACCCAAGCGAAUCCUGCCUCCCUCCGGGUGCUUCUGUCGGGUGCAGGAGAAAAGGACCCACACAAAACACUAUCAGGGAGAGGUGCCGACAAAUCUUAGGACUUCCAUGAAAUAAUUCUCUAGACACUGUAACGGAGAAGUUUUUAGGUUGCACAGAGCGCCCCCCCCCAAAAAAAAAGGAGAUUAAGAUCCCCUCCCUCCGAUUCUGCGCUUGUGCUCCCUGGGCAAGAGGCCUCCCCUCUAUCUGGAGUUCUCCUGGAAGCGUCCCCUAGCACUGAUGCGCUGCACCCCGAUUCCUCACUCAGUUCCUUUUCUUCCCACGAGAUUAUGAACUUCUGAGAAAACUGGUUUUCUUCU